ensembl:lncRNA
GAUUGCUCUUGCCUUGUCUGCUACAUACCUGUUUGCCUUUGUCUGACCCAUGCCUGUUUCUGACCACGUCUCCUAAUAAAGCUUGCAAAUGGAUCCACUUGUCUCACGUCCUGUUCAGCCCAUAACAGAAUACUUGGCCAUACAAGGAUCCAGCGGCUUUUCUGAGGGACAUUGGCCAGGUCUACUCUAGAGUUUUUACUCUGCAGAAAACUGACGAGCAACCCAA